CAGUCGCCGCGGUAAUACGAACCGUGCGAACGUUAUUCGGAAUUACUGGGCUUAAAGCGCGUGUAGGCGGGUCGGCACGUCGGUCGCUGAAAUCCCCCGGCUCAACCGGGGAAGUGGCGCCGAUACGGCCGGCCUGGAGGGGGGUAGGGGGAUCUGGAACUUCCGGUGGAGCGGUGAAAUGCGUUGAGAUCGGAAGGAACGCCCGUGGCGAAAGCGAGGUCCUGGACCCUUUCUGACGCUGAGACGCGAAAGCCAAGGGAGCGAACGGGAUUAGAUACCCCCGUAGUCCCUGUCUCUUAUA
rnacentral:rRNA from 1 species